GUAGGGAAUAUUGUGCAAUGGGGGAAACCCUGACACAGCGACGCCGCGUGGAGGAUGAAGGUCUUCGGAUUGUAAACUCCUGUCAGAAGGGACGAAAUUAUCGUUUAAUAAACGGUAUUGACUUAACCUUCAAAGGAAGCAACCGCUAACUCCGUGCCAGCAGCGGCGGUAAUACGGAGGUUGCAAACGUUGUUCGGAUUUACUGGGCGUAAAGAGUUCGUAGGCGGUCGGGGUUAAUUAGACGUGAAAUCCUUCGGCUUACCCGGAGAAUGGCAUCUAAUAUUACCCGACUUGAGUGCGUGAGAGGAAAGUGGAAUUGUAGGUGGAGCGGUGAAAUGCGUAGAUAUCUACAGGAACACCGGAGGCGAAGGCGACUUUCUGGUGCGCAACUGACGCUGAGGAACGAAAGCUAGGGGAUCAAACAGGAUUAGAUACCCCGGUAGUCC
rnacentral:rRNA from 1 species